GAUGAACGCUGGCGGCGUGCCUAACACAUGCAAGUCGAGCGAACGGACGAGAAGCUUGCUUCUCUGAUGUUAGCGGAGGACGGGUGAGUAACACGUGGAUAACCUCCCUAUCAGACUGGGAUAACUACGGGAAACCGGCGCUAAUACCGGAUAAUAUUUUGAACCGUAUGGUUCAAAAGAGAAAGACGGCCUUGCUGUCACUUAUAGAUGGAUCCGCGCUGCAUUAGCUAGUUGGUAAGGUCACGGCUUACCAAGGCAACGAGGCAUAGCCGACCUGAGAGGGUGAUCGGCCACACUGGAACGUGGACACGGUCCAGACUCCUGCGGGAGGCAGCAGUAGGGAAUCUUCCGCAAUGGGCGGAAGCCUGACGGAGCAACGCCGCGUGAGUGAUGAAGGUCUUCGGAGCGUAAAGCUCUGUUAUGAGGGAAGAACAUAUGUGUAAGUAACUGUGCACAGCUUGACGGUACCUAAUCAGAAAGCCACGGCUAACUACGUG
rnacentral:rRNA from 1 species